GUCUGCUUAAAGGCUGAGACCCUCGCCACCAGAGGAUAGGAGGGUAGCCCAGUGAUGCGGCGGGAGACUUUAGGUAGCUCCUGCCUCGCUGGCCUCCAGCCUAUGUGUGCCCACCCUCCACGCGUCCCCAGCACCGCAGGGAAGCCAUCCGACGCCUUAACCUUUCCCUGGCUAUUCCAAGCAAGGCAAAGGGCCAAGCGUCUAGGACUCUGGUCUUCUCUGCACCUGGCAACAUGAAGACAACCAGAGGCCACCUCGGGGGCGGGGCACAAAUGAAAUUCACGGGUAGAGGAAAAGACAGAGGACACACUCCUAAGGGAAGAGGCAAUAGGAGCAGAACGGAGGAGGGGAAAGAGCAGAGCGUGAAAAGUCAAGGUUUCGGGGCCUUUUUUGGUAGGAGGCCUGUGAUAAGGUUCUUGACUGAACAACCUGGCCUAGAGAAAACCUUCCCACUGAGACAACUCUCCUGCUGGAGGGUAUUCUUUCAGAGCAGCGCCCUUUAGAAAGGAAGAGAUGUCAUCCUUGAAUGGAUCUAAUCAGAGAGGGUGCUGG
ensembl:processed_transcript Gm14207 predicted gene 14207